UCACAACCAUUCAUAAUGAGAUCUGACUCCCUCUCCUGGUGUAUCUGAGGACAGCUACAGUGUACUUACAUAUAACAAUAAAUAAAUCUUUAAAAAAUUGAAUAGAAUUCAGGAAUGAAUUUAUACAGCUAUGGACUUUUCUUUGUUAAGAAACUAUGGCUGCUUAACUCUUCACUGGUUGUUAGAAAGAUAUUCGAAUUGUUUAAAGCCUCUUAACUUUGGUAGGUCAUAUGGCUAAACAAUUCAUUACACCUAGAUUAUAGACAUGUCCCACUACACCUAGACUAUAGACAUGAACCAAUACACCAAGACUAUAGACAUGUUCCACAUUAGAUUAGGUGUAAUGGGACAUGUCUGUAGUCUAGGUGUAGUGGAUCAUGUCUAUAGUCUGGGUGAAGUGCUUCAUGUCUAUAGUCUAGGUGUAAUGGGACAAGUCUAUACUCUAUGUGUAGUGGUUCAUGUCUAUAGUCUAGGUGUAGUGGGAGAUGCCUAUAGUGUAGGUGUAGUGGGACAUGUCUAUAGUGUAGGUGUAGUGGAACAUGUCUAUAGUCUAGGUAUAGUGGGACAUGCCUAUAGUCUAGGUGUAGUGGAACAUGCCUAUAGUCUAGGUGAAGUGGGACAUGUCUAUAGUCUAGGUGUAGUGGGAGAUGUCUAUGUUCUAGGUGUAGUGGUUCAUAACUAUAGUCUAGGUAUAGUGGGACAUGUCUAUAGUCUAGGUGUAGUGGGACAUGUCUAUAGUCUAGGUGUAGUGGGACAUGCCUACAGUCUAGGUGUAGUGAGACAUGUCUGUAAUCUAGGUGUAGUGGAACAUGUCUAUAAUCUAGGUGUAAUGGUUCAUGUCUAUAGUCUAGGUAUAGUGGGACAUGUCUAUAGUCUAGGUAUAGUGGGAGAUGUCUAUAGUCUAUGUAUAGUGGAACAUGUAUAUAGUCUAGGUGUAGUGGGAUAUGUCUAUAUUCUAGGUGUACUGGGACAUGUCCAUAGUCUAGGUGUAGUGGGACAUAUCUAUAGUCUAGAUGUAGUAUGAGAAAUCUAUAGUGUAGGUAUAGUGG
rnacentral:lncRNA from 1 species